rnacentral:rRNA from 1 species
CCGGACCCCACUGCUAUCGGGAUAAGACUAAGCCAUGCUAGUCGUGCGCCUCCUAGCCAUGAUGGAGGCGCGGCACACAGCUCAGUAGCACGUGGCUAACCUACCCUUGGGACGGAAGCACCCCCGGGAAACUGGGGCUAAUUUCUGAUAGGUGAAGGCUUCUGGAAUGGACUUUCGCCUAAAGGACGCUUGGAUCAUGCUUCUAGGCGUUGCCCAAGGAUGGGGCCGCGGCCGAUCAGGUUGUUGGUGAGGUAAUGGCUCACCAAGCCUAUAACCGGUGCGGGCCGUGGGAGCGGGAGCCCGGAGAUGGGCACUGAGACAAGGGCCCAGGCCCUACGGGGCGCAGCAGGCGCGAAAACUUCGCAAUAAGCGAAAGCUUGACGGGGUUAUCCCGAGUGCCAUCCGCUGAGGAUGGCUUUUCUCUAGUAUAGAUAGCUGGGUGAAUAAGGAGAGGGCAAGUCUGGUGUCAGCCGCCGCGGUAAUACCAGCUCUCCGAGUGGUGUGGACGAUUAUUGGGCCUAAAGCAUCCGUAGCCGGCUGGGCAAGUCCCCUGUUAAACCCAACGAUUCAAUCGUUGGCUCGCGGGGGAUACUGCUCGGCUAGGGGGCGAGAGAGGCCGUCGGUAUUCCCGGGGUAGGGGUGAAAUCCUAUAAUCCCGGGAGGACCACCAGUGGCGAAGGCUGUCGGCUAGAACGCGCUCGACGGUGAGGGAUGAAAGCUGGGGGAGCGAACCGGAUUAGAUACCCGGGUAGUCCCAGCUGUAAACGAUGCAGGCUAGGUGUUAGGGCGGCCACGUGCCGCUCUAGUGCCGCAGGGAAGCUGUUAAGCCUGCCGCCUGGGGAGUACGGUCGCAAGGCUGAAACUUAAAGGAAUUGGCGGGGGAGCACCACAAGGGGUGAAGCUUGCGGUUUAAUUGGAGUCAACGCCGG